UAAUCUUGACUUAGUAUGUGUUGUCCAGGUCGUGUGCCGUUGUGAAGAUCCAGCACGACCAAUGGACGUGAUGCAUGCAGCUAGGAAGUUUGUUAGUGCAUUCGUGUGUGCAUGGGUAGUUUGUUAGCGAGGCCAUGGGUUUUAGCCAGGCCGUGGGUUAGUGGCCCGUAAGGUGUCCUGGUGGUUAGCUCAUGAGUGGCAUAAAAUCUAGUUAGUUUGUUGCUCCGGCUGAGUGGGUGAGGGUACUACUUAAGAGGAUGUGGUGUUGUGUAGUGCAGGGAAUAGUAGCAGCUAGGAGAGAUGUAGUCUUUAGUAGUCUCUUAUGUGGGUGUGGCGCCGGUGUGUGUGGUCGUGCUCCGGUGUGUUGCCGAGCAACGGGGUGUGCCGAGCCAAGUGUGAGGGGCCUAGAAGAUGUAGUCUCCGUCGGUACCGUGAUGUGUGUCCGGUCGACGUGAGAGUUCUUUCGGGUUGUGCCGCGUGCGUGCGUGUGUACCUCAUGUAUGUGUUCGAGUCGUUGUGAGAAAUAAAGCCAAGAUACAGGCGUUGGUGCGCCGCGGCGUUCGUCGCCGG
rnacentral:lncRNA from 1 species